ACUAGUAUGAAUGGUUAAAUGAGGACCUAACUGUCUCUUUUGUUAGACCAAUGAAACUGAUCCUUUAGUCAAAAAGCUAAAAUAAAACCGUAAGACGAGAAGACCCUGUGGAGCUUAUAAACCAAACUCAAAGAUAUGACUCUUUUGGUUUUGAGUUGGGGCGACUUCGGAGCACAAAAAAACCUCCGACAAUAACCUUUAUUAAGAUCAACACAUCAAAAUAUCUCUCAGACCCGAACUUUAAAAUAAAGUUCGAUCAAUGAACCAAGUUACCCCAGGGAUAACAGCGCCAUCCCCUUCUAGAGUCCCUAUCGACAAGGGGGUUUACGACCUCGAUGUUGGAUUAGGACAUCCUUAUAGUGCACCCGCUAUAAAAG
rnacentral:rRNA from 1 species